UACAGAGGGGGCAAGCGUUAUUCGGAAUUAUUGGGCGUAAAGGGCGCGUAGGCGGCUUUGCAAGUCGAGUGUGAAAUCCCCAGGCUUAACCUGGGAACUGCAUUCGAGACUGCAUAGCUAGAGUAUGGGAGAGGGAAGUGGAAUUUCAGGUGUAGCGGUGAAAUGCGUAGAUAUCUGAAGGAACAUCAGUGGCGAAAGCGACUUCCUGGACCAAUACUGACGCUCAUGUGCGAAAGCGUGGGGAGCAAACAGG
rnacentral:rRNA from 1 species